rnacentral:rRNA from 1 species
GGAGGAAAAGAAACCAACAGGGAUUGCCUUAGUAACGGCGAGUGAAGCGGCAAAAGCUCAAAUUUGAAAUCUGGCACCUUCGGUGUCCGAGUUGUAAUUUGAAGAAGGUAACUUUGGAGUUGGCUCUUGUCUAUGUUCCUUGGAACAGGACGUCACAGAGGGUGAGAAUCCCGUGCGAUGAGAUGCCCAAUUCUAUGUAAAGUGCUUUCGAAGAGUCGAGUUGUUUGGGAAUGCAGCUCUAAGUGGGUGGUAAAUUCCAUCUAAAGCUAAAUAUUGGCGAGAGACCGAUAGCGAACAAGUACAGUGAUGGAAAGAUGAAAAGAACUUUGAAAAGAGAGUGAAAAAGUACGUGAAAUUGUUGAAAGGGAAGGGCUUGAGAUCAGACUUGGUAUUUUGCGAUCCUUUCCUUCUUGGUUGGGUUCCUCGCAGCUUACUGGGCCAGCAUCGGUUUGGAUGGUAGGAUAAUGACUAAGGAAUGUGGCUCUACUUCGGUGGAGUGUUAUAGCCUUGGUUGAUACUGCCUGUCUAGACCGAGGACUGCGUCUUUGACUAGGAUGCUGGCAUAAUGAUCUUAAGCCACCCGUCU